GCCAAUCAAACUCGGAAAUAGCUGGUUCUCCGCGAAAUCUAUUUAGGUAGAGCGUCAGACGAAUACUCCUGGGGGUAGAGCACUGGAUGGGCUAUGGGGACUUACCGUCUUACUGAUCCUAACCAAACUCCGAAUACCAGGAAGUACUAUCUGGCAGACACACAGUGGGUGCUAACGUCCAUUGUGGAGAGGGCAACAACCCUGACCGCCAGUUAAGGCCCCCAAAUCAUGGCUAAGUGGGAAAGGAUGUAGAACUCCCAAAACAACCAGGAUGUUGGCUUAGAAGCAGCCAUCAUUUAAAGAAAGCGUAACAGCUCACUGGUCUAAACAAGGGGUUCCGCGCCGAAAAUGUAACGGGGCUCAAGCCAUGUGCCGAAACUGCGGGUGCACGUAAGUGCGCGGUAGCGGAGCGUUCCGUAGGCUGAUGAAGGCAGACCCGUGAGGGCUGCUGGAGGUAUCGGAAGUGCGAAUGCUGACAUGAGUAACGACAAAGCGGGUGAGAGACCCGCUCGCCGAAAGUCCAAGGGUUCCUGCUCAACGUUAAUCGGAGCAGGGUUAGCCGGCCCCUAAGGCGAGGCCGAAAGGCGUAGUCGAUGGGAAUGCAGUUAAUAUUCUGCAGCCUGCGGGUGGUGACGGAUGCCGUGUAUCGUAUCCCCUUACUGGAUUGGGGAUGCGGUGAAGGUGUCCCAGGAAAUAGCCCCCGCAUUAUAGACCGUACCCUAAACCGACACAGGUGGACAGGUAGAGCAUACCAAGGCGCUUGAGAGAACUAUGCUGAAGGAACUCGGCAAAUUGCUCCCGUAAGUUCGCGAGAAGGGAGCCUUCUGAUCGGGCAACCGGUCAGGAGGGGCACAGACUAGGGGGUGGCGACUGUUUAUCAAAAACACAGGGCUCUGCGAAGCCGUAAGGCGACGUAUAGGGUCUGACGCCUGCCCGGUGCCGGAAGGUUAAGAGGAGGUGUGCAAGCUCCGAAUUGAAGCCCCGGUAAACGGCGGCCGUAACUAUAACGGUCCUAAGGUAGCGAAAUUCCUUGUCGGGUAAGUUCCGACCUGCACGAAUGGCGUAACGACUUCCCCGCUGUCUCCAGCAUAGGCUCAGUGAAAUUGAAUUCCCCGUGAAGAUGCGGGGUUCCUGCGGUCAGACGGAAAGACCCCGUGCACCUUUACUACAGCUUCACACUGGUAUUCGUGUCGACAUGUGUAGGAUAGGUGGUAGACGUCGAAGCGAGGGCGCCAGCUCUCGUGGAGUCAUCCUUGAAAUACCACCCUUGUCGUCAUGGAUAUCUAACCGCGAUGUAACAGCAUCCGGGACCGUGUGUGGCGGGUAGUUUGACUGGGGCGGUCGCCUCCCAAAUGGUAACGGAGGCGCGCGAAGGUGGGCUCAGACCGGUCGGAAAUCGGUCGUCGAGUGCAAUGGCAUAAGCCUGCCUGACUGCGAGACUGACAAGUCGAGCAGAGACGAAAGUCGGCCAUAGUGAUCCGGUGGUCCCUCGUGGAAGGGCCAUCGCUCAACGGAUAAAAGGUACGCCGGGGAUAACAGGCUGAUGACCCCCAAGAGUCCAUAUCGACGGGGUUGUUUGGCACCUCGAUGUCGACUCAUCGCAUCCUGGGGCUGGAGCAGGUCCCAAGGGUAUGGCUGUUCGCCAUUUAAAGCGGUACGUGAGUUGGGUUCAGAACGUCGCGAGACAGUUCGGUCCCUAUCUGCCGUGGGUGUAGGAGAAUUGAGAGGAUCUGUCCCUAGUACGAGAGGACCGGGAUGGACGAACCUCUGGUGGACCUGUUGUGGCGCCAGCCGCAGUGCAGGGUAGCUAUGUUCGGAAUAGAUAACCGCUGAAGGCAUCUAAGCGGGAAACUAACCUCAAAACAAGUUCUCCCUGAAGAGCCGUGGUAGACCACCACGUCGAUAGGAGGCAUGUGGAAGCACGGCAACGUGUGAAGCUGAGCCUUACUAAUAGCUCGUCCGGCUUGAUC
rnacentral:rRNA from 1 species